ensembl:snRNA U6 U6 spliceosomal RNA
GUGCUCACUUCAGCAGCAUAUAUACUAAAACUGGAACGACACAGAGAAGAUUAGCAUGGCCCCUGCGCAAGGAUGAGACGCAAAUGCGUGAAGCGUUCCACAUUUUU